AGGUGUAAGCAUGGGGAAUUAAUUAUAGCAUUUGCACAGCCAAGUUCUCCUGGAGUCUCAUACACCGCUGGCUCACAUGACGUUUCUCAGUAUUAGAGAGGCGUGGCAUCACCAGCAGUUCUGGCAGCAUCUGUUUUUCAAACCUUUCACCCUCCUCCAGUGGCUGGAGUGGUGGUGAAUUUCUGCAAGUGCAAGAUAGUCCACAGCAUCGGUAUCACUGUAGACCCAGCGGAGCUUCUGAAUUCAUAGAGGUGUGUGCAGCUAUCUGAUCAAGAAGGUAUUUUAUAAGUCACAGGUGAAAUGACCAUCUUUUCUUCAAAAGAUGUACAUGUAGAAGUUGGGGUGCUUGUUAUUUAUAGACAGUAUUAUGAAGAAUGACAGUCAUUCAAGUUGUCCUCUGCACUGCAUCUUCAUUCUCUGCUUUUAAGUGAUGUCACAGCUGGCUAGCGCUCAAAUUCUGUUAGUGUUAGAUAGAAGAUGCCUGGCAUUAAAUUCGAUGCUUUGGCCCUCCAAAGUCAGCCUUACAAGCUGGGAGGUGUGGAGGGGGGAUUUCCCCUUGAUCUGUGCCGUUCCCUUUGGGUUCCAGAGCUUCCAUCAGGGCAGCAAAGGGAGACCAAGGAUAUCUGAAAAUCUUCAGUGUAAACAAAGCCAAUUAUACACACACCAAUUACCUCAGUGUAAACAACCAAUCACACUAUAAUGGGGAGAACCUUUUGAGCCUGAGGAGGGUGCUUUGAAGUGCCUCUGCUCAGAGAUUGCCUGUUAAUGCAGAGAACUGCACCAGCAGCAGUUGUUGGCUCCAGUGAGUAGAGUUUGGUGGAAACGACAAUGGAGCUGGGCAGAUUGAGAGUUGGAUGCUGUGAUGUGAUAAUACAGUAGUUAAAAUUCCAUCAGCAAGGGGCAGUAAGAUGUAGGCUUGCCUGUAUCGGCCAACGUAUAUCAUUGAUGGCAGCGAAAGAACUGGAAUUUUUUGUUAGAUCUAUGUUAAGUCGUUGCCUUUGUGUCUAGAAAACUGCUUGACCUGGAUUUUACUGACUAGUCACGUUUCCAGUACAUCUGCAACCUCUUCUGGCUUCAGGUCUCUCCAAGCCCCAAGUGUCAUAUUCUCCCUCCAACGCCUGACCCUGUGGUGAGUGGAGUCCACAGAGAAUCUUUCUGAUUUUGUGAGCUCUAUAGGGUUGAAUUCAGUCUGCUUGCAGGUGAAUGCUGCUAUUUGCAUAAUGCCGAGGGCUGCAGCAGGUACCUCAGCUCUGGUCUCUGGCUUUAGAAGAGGACUCAAACUAAAUGAUUUCUUCACGGGCUCUUCUUGCCAUGCAUCUCUCUUAAAGUUCCUUUAACAUUGACUGUGUACAGCCCCUGUUCCAUCUGGGAUUGAUGUGCUGGUUCUGCCAUCCUAUGUUCAGCAGAAGUGCAUUAUCUACCUCCAGACGUGAUGCAUCAGUGCAAUAAGGGCAGACAUUUCUCUGCCAUUACUGGAAGCGAAUUCCAGUUUUGCAGCAGUACCUACGUGAUUUCUCACGUUUUUUGUGAAAGAAUACAAGUCAGUCAUACCCAGGUUAACAUGAAUGUGUCUAACUCAGCUGGGAGAGGAUUAUGCCAAUUUAAGCUAAUAGCUGUCAAGUAAUAGACACACAGAUACUCUUAAAUUUGUUUAAUUUAUGUCUGCUAGCCCUGACAAUUGGAAGAAAAGAUAAAUAUACACAAAGCAUUCAAUGCUUGAGGUGUUAUGAUGCUAAUUGAAAAGUCACCAAAAGAAGCCUGCAUGGUGUGUGGGAAUCUUAGUGCUUGAGAUUAGUGGCUAAUUAGUGGCUGGGAGCUGGAGUGCACUCCUCCCAGCUGUCUCACGCUGAGAACGUGCAUCUUGGCCCAUGCAAUCCGUUCUUGCCCCUGAUACCAGCAAUGAAGCACCUAUUCUGGGCAGAAAAUUGUGUGAUGCGGGGAAGAUACAAAUAGUGCCAGCGCUGUAGCAGGCUCUCCUACCACGCACAGAAGCUGGUGUCUAGGUGGCUUGCUGUGUCCUGAGACACAGCAAAGAUACAAGCAUUUGAGAACUGAGCUCCUUUUUCUCUUUAACAGAUGCACAAAUCUUGUUAUCUUACUUUCUGCCUCUUUCAUGCCAUGUUUGCAGCAGAUGAUAAAACGUGCUCUGGAGGCCCUGAGUUUCAAACACGGCUUUAGACUCUGAAGUGAAUGUGUACAGGUGGUGGCACUCCUUUCCUUGCAUCAUAUUUUAGAAUCAUGACAUUUAAAAAAUAGAGGUUUCAUCUGUCUGUUGUGUUCCGGUAUCUCCCUCUCAAGUUUUUCCCUGGUAUACAAAUGAAGUAUAAGAAUCAGAAAUUUAAAUAGUGCACUUCUGUCAUGAAUCUAAGAGGCUGGCCUUUAGAAAAACAUGAAAAGCUGUAGGAGCUGGUGUUACUGAUGCACAACUGACAUGACUGACACUCAGGGCCUAUUCUCUUUAGCAAAUACCUAUUCUCCUCAAUUGUUCUGCAUUCAUUUGUGAGAAUCCCUUAUUUAUUUCUUCAUUUAAAAAAAGCUGUUCAGUAACUCGGAAAAAUUACAUGUUUUCUUCUUUUCCCCUCAUUUGCUUUUCUAAAUCUUAAACAAGUGUAAACACAGCUUUAAACUAUUGCACACCCUCUCGAUUAAACUAACCAGUAUCAAGCCUCACACAGGCGUCGAGUUGCAGUACCAGGGUGGUUCACUAAAGAACAUUACACAAGCUAGAAAAAUUUCUUUCCGUGUCACCAGUUGAGUAACACAGUUUUGCUCAAACUGGAGUCAGAAACGGGAUAGCAUAAGAAGACCGUGAUAAUGGGUUUCUUGUGGUGGGACUUCUUGGGAUUAUGAGAGCUAGUGGCUAUAGAGUCAGCUUUUCUGGCCAUCAGUGCAUGGGCACUUCUAGUCCAAUUUCCUUAACCCUCCAGUCAGUAAGUCCUCUGGACAACUAAGCCUCUUCUAUAGCUGUUGAGAAAAAGCUAAAUUUUCCAUGAUCUCCACAGUAGGAGCUAAUCACAAAGAGGGCAUCCUUCAUAUAGUAGUCAUUUUGUUGUAAAAGUGAUGCUAUGGGGAGAGGUAAAAUUCACAGGCACAGCUAAUAUCUUUGAUCACAUACACAGUUGGGAAAAGAUAGCAGACUUUCAGACAUAGUUGUUCUUCUACAGGUCUGAACGAAACCUCAAACUUGGAGUUAUUCUGUCCCCUUCUCAAAAAUCCUGCAGAGAGAACAGGCACGACAGCCCUCGACAGUCAGAUCUGCCAUGGAUGAAGCCAGCUUGCAGGGCACUCCCAAGAGCCCAGGUGCUCCAGGAAUCUUAAUAGCUUGCGUGGAGCAACAAAUUCCUGAAACCUUGCUCUCCAAUCAGUAAAUGUUUGUCAAAAGAGGAAUGAGAGAUACAAGGAAAAUCAGUAUUUUCUGGCCAAGUUAUUUCCAGCUGUCUCUAGGACGUUCUUUCUCUUUCAAUGUUUUCUGCACAGUAAAGAGAAGGAAAAGUGUAAAGGAGUUACAGAGAAGGCGCUGCAGAGGAGUUUUCAGUUCCUGUAUGAAUCUGCGUGGCAUAUUGGGUCUGCAGGAGAACAAAGUUGUGCUUAACCCCAUGAAACCUCGUAGCUCAGCUGUUAUCACCUCUGACAGCUGGGAGACUUGACAUGACACCUAGGGUGAAGCUGUGAUGAGACCAAGUCAUGUUAUUGAAUCAGAAGUAUCGUGAGAUCGUAUCAUGCACUGUGAGAAUGCGUAGGUACCACAGUCCUUGGCCCAAAGUGCUUGCGGUCCAAGCCAGAGAGCUUGUAAUUAGGAGAGUCAUAGUAAAGUAGGGUCAUCUGUGCUAUUACGUGUGUUGUGAUUCAUAGCUGUAUUUUUUCAGUAAAGCCCAUUUUAUUUUUAUUUUAGUGCAUUUUUAUUGUUGAAGCAUAUGAGAUCUUACAGAUGUUACAGUAAGAGCAUCCUGUGUGUGCUUCUGGAGGGGAAUGGCUUUUCUGUGCAAUUAGCCAAUAGGGUUGAGCUUUAUGAUGGAGCAUUUUUAUCUGAGACACUUUUCCCUUGUUGGCUGGUUCAGAAAGCGCUAACAGGGGCAAAGUAAGCCACCUUUACUACCUCACCGGGAAAGAGCAACAGCCCGCUGCCUAUGGCUCGUGCAGAAACCGUUCUGCUGCGCCAGAGCUGAUCCUGUUAUGCUUGACGGAGCAAGUUUGAACAGGGUAAAAUGAACAGGAAAUGCCAGUUUCCAGUGCUCCCAGAUGGCUCCGGGCUACUUUGUACACUAACUUUUUCAGCCUUAGGAGGUUUUGCAUAUUAAUUCCUCACCAUCCACAAACUGCUUUUGUAUCAUUGCUGUACUGCUGAGAUCUUGGAAAGCCACUCCACUUCUGUGAUUCUGGAGACAUGAGCUACACUGUGCUUAUUGGGCUGCCUGCUCUGCUCCACGUUUUGUUAAUCCUAUGCUCUCCUGCAGGUAUUAACAUGUACAAGAAAGCUUCGUCACAAUAAACAACAGCCAAACAUGCCACUUUUUUUCCUGUCCUUCAAAGAUACCAUCAUACUUUUAAAUCAGUCCCAGCGAAAAUCAUCAGUGGGGCUACAGAAAGGUCAAAGGUCUGCUGGUUUAGGAUUUCGUGGGAAUAUACGCUUGUUUGGACUUGGCCCAAGAGCUCGUUUACCUGUUUGACAGGUAACAAUUAGCGAGUAAUAGUUCUGCUGGCUGGAAUGUGGCUGUGAGGGCCAGCGGGCACUGGGUUACCUGGUGGGCAGGUGUGGGUGCAGCGCCCAGAUAGGUAUGUGCAUGCACAGCAUUCCUGGGAAUCAGUUUUCCCUUAAAGAUGCAGCGAUGACUGCAGGGCACAAAAGGGCUGGGCUUAGCCCAGGCUCCAAGACGCUAAGCUGUUUGCAAGGUAAAGAAGCAAAGUAAAUAGUGGAAGAGAAGAGGAGCUGAGGAAAUGGCUGUAAGAAAACUGCCCCCUUUUUUUAUCUUGCCUGAAGAGAGUUUUGAUUCUUCCCACAGUAUCUCAGUAAUGGAGAAUUCAGUGCGAUUACAGGGUCAUGGGAGAUAAAAUAGAAGGGAAAAACUGAGAUAGGGUAGAGCUGCUUUGAGAAAUGCGUAUCUUUAUAAAAGUUACAGGCAUAGCUCGGGAAUUGUCUGUAAGGAUUUUGUGUGCAUUGCUCCCCAGCGGCAGCCCAGCACAGGAGCAGCAGCUGGAGCAGAGCUGAGAAGCUCACUCAGCAGGGAAUAACUGUGAAGAGGGGAAACCCUGAAUCAAUUGGUUUAAAAACAGUUAAACAGCUUAUGUGCAGUUACCCUCUACUCUCUCAUUAGGAAGAAUCCAAGCCUGAUAAGUCUAUGGAAUAAAAGCACUUUAUCUGUGGCAAAUGGCCCCAUUUCCAGCUCCUGCAGCAGUCGGGGAAGAUUCCUGCAUCAGCCCCUCCCUAGUCCCUAGAGGGAAUCUGGUAUAAAUUAUGUAGACAGUCAGGGACUUUGCAGGUGGUUUUAAGAUGUUUGAUAUUUUUUUUUACCAGAGCAAGCGACCCUUCUGUUUUAGGAACGGAAAGGUUUGCUCAUUCUUUUCAUAUUUUAUUCCCAUUCAUGCACAGGCUUCUGUGUUUGUGUAUUUCCACUUACGUGUUUCAUACUUGACAAUUGAGCUAUUGUGUGACUUGGGAGAAAUCACAUCCUCUUUCCUGUUCUCUGUAUUUUCACCUGCAGAGCUGGAGUAGCGAGUCCCAUGUUAUUAACCACGUGAGACAUGGAUGACAAGUACUGCUAGUUAUAAAAACGUAUGCUGUUAUAGAUAUAUAUUUACUUACAUCAGAUAGUAAUUCCUUUGAAUCUCAUUUCACUAAGAUGACAAGUUAUUUUGUAUUUUUAAUAAAAAUCAUAUGUUUUUCACUUAUAAGUGGCUUUCUUGGCUGAAAGGACUUCAUCUUUGGUGUACUAGUUCAGUCAUUUGAGGAAGAAAAAAUCCAAGUAUAAUUAGAGGCCAUUUUCCUUGAUCUUAAAGGACCCAGCAUCUUAAUGACUUUGAGUCAUUAAGCAUUAUUUGUACACUGUUAUUUAGUAUGACCUUCAUUAAGAAGGAGUCUCUUUGCUCAACAGUGUAUGGGCCAAUAAAUGGUCAUUAAGUCUGCCUAUUAGCUGACACAAUAGUGUCAGCUGCAAGCUACAAGCAAGCAGUAGAGAAGCACAGAGACAUCUCUGCAAGUACUGAUAAAUAUGAUAAGCCCCUUCCCCUUCCACUGCAUAAGAAGAUGCAAUUACCUGUUCUGGGUUGGAUGAGAGGCUCAUCCGCUGCACUGCACACCUCCAAGAGCCCCCACCCUGGGCACUUCGGGAAGAAGUAAGCAGCACUCCUCCCUUUCCAAGCAUCCUCCAUUCUGCCUCUCAGACUGGGUCUGCGUCUCUGCAUGUCACACCUCUGAGUCAGCACUCACUUUUGGGAAUCUGACCACUGCUUGAGCCCCUGUAUACUUUUGACAUCCAUAAUGUUAUGUAGCCAUGAACCCCACAGGUUACGAGGUACUUCAGGUGAUCGUCUUGUUUGUUAUACAACACAUUUCUGAUUGUGGCAUUUGGCAUUUAUGGUAUUGUGUGAAACUGCAGGUGAACUGUUCCUUCUGUCUUCCAUUUGUUGCUGACCUCUAGAGCCUGCAGAGCCCUGCACAUUUUGGUGUAUCUUCCUACAGUGGUUGUUACAAUCGUCACAUUUCAGAUCGCCUCUCCUUUGGGCACAGAGGACUCGAACUGCAGGCAGUGUUCAAAACCUAGGGCACUUUACAUUUGCCUGGUAGUGUAACAAUGCUUUCUGGUCCUUGCAGUCCUGACAGUCCUGAUGUUGCUUUGGCCCUGCUGAGCACGGAUGGGAGCAACCUUAUGCCAAGCAACACUUCCAUCAAACUUCAUGGCCAUGAUUGUGCUGCACAGUCAUGCUGCACAAUAAGCAUGAAUGUUUCAUAGCCAAGUGAAGAACUCUUCUUCCUCCUGCAGCUUUCUGCCCACCUCUAGGCUUUGUGUCCCUGUGUGGGCCUGAUUGUCCUGUCACUUGGAGUGAGUGGAACCCUGAUUUCAGCAAGACUGGAGGUCCUGAGAUCAUCUCUUGUUAAUGUCAAGGGGAGCUGCAUCGAAAAGCUGAGCUGUGUUUAGUGCCUAGCAAUGUGCUCUUCUGGUCCUUGGUAACAGGAAAUUUCAUGCUCACAGGCAGACCAGACAAAUGAAAUUGGAAGAGGAAUGAAAUGCAGUACCAGUGGUGGCCUUGUGAGAGUUUUGCCUCACCUUUCACUUUCUUAAAGGCUUUCUGUUAACACAAGGAAUUCACCCUUUCAGUUUGGUGACUGCUGCUUUCUGCUAUAUCAGCACUUUAGCCACAACAGUUGGAAACAUUUAAAGACUGGCGUCAACUAAAGGUCAAUCAGGAACAAAUGCGAUCUAAAGAACUUGGAAAGACUGGAAGAAUAGCUCUUGCACCAAAUGCUUUUCUAAAUGAACACCUGAAGUGAUGAAGCUACAGAGAGGAUGGUUUGGGAGGCAGCCUUCCCACUUCAGCAUUGCAGUCAUGGUGAUUAAAUGUACGCUUUGGAAGGACGCACCGUUUUGAAGGGGCUUCCAGCCAUCACUGAGUAAAGCUUACAGUGUAUGACCUAUUGCGUGUGAAGAGUUGGGAUGACUCCACCUGCUAUUCGUGCUCUGUUCAAAAGGCUGCCAGUACUUCAGCAUGAAUAUGGGGACUUUGAAGAGUAUGACAAGGGCUCUGUUGUUCACUGGUAACUACCAGUAAAGAGUCCACUAGAUAAAGUGGAUCAUAAAUGGCAUCUGAAGUAGUCGUUCACCCCAGCAAAGGAUAUUCCAGGAGAGCAAUGCAGGAAAAGGACUAACUCAAAGGAAUUCACCACCACAGGUUAUUCCCAGGCGACACCACUCUAUGUAAGGAGGAACGGAAAACACGUGGCUUUAUUCUCUGUGAAGUGUUUGUGGAGUUUUUGUCACCAUAGCAUCGAGUCACCAAAUACAGAAAGGUCCCUCCCAUGAUUCAUAACUGAACCCACAAUGGCCGCUGCUGUUUUUCUCGCAGUCCUCACUCUGUCUGCUAUGUAAUAGCUGAAUAGAACAAUGCUGGACACUUACAGGCUUCUCCGUCCUCUCAGCGUUUUGUCCAAUUUUGUUGUUUUCAUAUUUAUGAGCAGCUCUGCUCUUCCCAUCCUUUGGCAAAAGAUACUGAAAGUUAGCAUGGCAUCAGGAGAGGAAGAGGGGGUAAAAAAAGCCCUGCUUGGGAAGUCUGCUUUCAAAAUCCCUUUGAAAUUCACAUUCCCUCAGCAGUUGAGUUGCUGAUAUUGGCAGCAGAAUAUUGCUGGGUUUCCAUCCACACCAAGCACACACCAGGCUACAUGUGGCCUCAGAGCAAAGGCUUCUGUCUCUCCUGCUGGGACAGCCACACAGGAGGAAGAUGUUUCCACUAUAGGAAAGCAUCUCCAUCCAGAGAAGGUAGUACUGAGGCCGUUGCAAACAAGGGAGGCAUGACUUGCUGCAUUCUGUCCAGGGAGGAGUGUCCCAGACUUGUACAGCACAGAAACCAAAGCCUGAAAGGAGGCACUAAUACCUCAAGGAAGUAACUAGCAGGAAACAAACACGACAAUUUAAAUUAAAGGGCAGUGUUGGCCCAAGGACAAUAGGGUACAAAUGGACUUCAACAUAUUUCAAGUGGCAAAGAAAGGGUGGCAGGUAACCAGGUGAGAAGUGAGUUACUGAAAGAGGUCCCUCAGGAGAAAGAGUGGGAAUGGGGCUCCUGGCAGCUUAAGGAUGCAGUUUGGUUGGGAGACCCUGCCAGGACCAUCCAGAGCCAGAGCUCAGUGAGGCAUGUGAGCUCUUCCAGACCACUUGCUUGAACAACUUCUGUUUUGGCAUCUCCUAACUUUUGCAUUGUUACCGCUCUUCCGGGGCACUCAGAGAGUGUCUGCAGAUUUAGCUAUUUUAAUUCAGUGAAUAAGGUGGCUUUCAUAUAGGUCUCAUUUUGUAUUAGCAGUAGAAAAAGAGAAGCAGAAAAAGGAAACUAUCUGCAUUUAACAAAGGCGAUCUGGUGCCACCAGGGACCCUGGACACAAUCCCCACACAGAUUCUGUGCUCCAACACACAGAAUUUGGCUUACCCAACACCAGCUGGGAUGAAACAAACAGCGAAUUGACUGCUGCCCAGCUAAUGACCGCAAGUCUUUCUGGAAAAUAAACUGCAGCCAUCACAGCUCGGGGGAUUCUUUCCCUGACAGGGAUAACAAAAGUGAAGAAGGACAAGAAGCAGCAUCCCUUGGAUAGUCACUGCAGUAUAUAGUCUCUCCUUCAGGCUGGGGAAGGAUCAGCAUGAAAACUGAUCCUUCCCAAAGAAUAUUUUGUGAUGGAAGAAUUUAGAUUGUGAACCAUCUGUGACUUGGAGUGACAUGCAUAGUUUAUUAAAUCUUUUCAAUUCUGUGAAAUAAAAAGCAAACAUGAGUCCCCACACCCAAGCAAAUAUGCACAUAGGUUCUUAUGCAACUCCACCCCCUCUGGGUGCUUUUUGCCAGCUUCCGCAAUGACUUCAUUUAAACAAAAUCCCAGGACAGGCACACUCCAGAACACUUCAACGUAACCUCAGCCUGAGCUUCCUUUUAAAGUGGCAGGUCUCUAAGUUUUUCUUUAGAAUCAUAGAAUUAUUAGGUUGGAAAAGACCUUUGAGUUCAUCAUCCGCUCCAACCUUACCUGUCCACUACUAAAACACAUCCCUAAGCACUUCAUCUUCCCAACUUUUAAUUACCCCCAGGGGUGGUGACUCAGUCACCUCCCUGGGCAGCUGUUCCAGUGCCUGAUAACCCUUUCUGUGAAGGGGUUAGAUGUGCGUGCGUAUUAGCAUCCCAUGUUGUCUAAGAGAAGCUAACGAGACCCAUCUUAUUCUGAGAUUUGUGUAGGUGAUGCUAAUAGCUGUGUUGCUUGGGACUGCUGUUCUCAUUUCUUUCUUUGUAAGAAUAAAGGGAAAAUAUUGGGAAUUAGGAGUGUCACCAUACUCAUGUCAUCCCUUCCCUCCCCACCGCAAGCCUUAUACAAAGAGCAUAGACAAGCGCAAACCUUUGCAUUGCGCAGAAGUAAUAAUCAAUGCAAUAAUUGAGAAUUUUUAUUACAUCAUUGUUAAACAUAGUAAUAAUGCUUUCAUAAAUUUUCCUUCUAUAGGCAGUGUGUGUGACACUGUAUGAGAGUUUAAACCUGGGCCACAAAUAUCACGGAUUAAUACCUGCACCCUCCAGACCAUGGAAAUGGAAAGUUGAGUUCACCUGUAUAUACAGUUCUGGUAACUGCCAGCCUAUGCUUUGCUUUUCCUUCCUGUCACCUUCCCCAGGAUCUUCCAAGCCUUCUUCCCUGUGACUUCUCUAGUAGUUGCCACGACACUUCCUACUCAACAAAUACAGAAGUCCAUAGGGGUCUUUCAGUAUUAUCAGUAAGAUUUGAAGUCCUUUCCCCAAGAACAGUGAGGAGACUGCUCUUGGCUCAGGCCCAUGCCAGCAUGAGCAAAUGGUGCUGGAUGGAAGCCAUGGGAGAAAUGCCUCCUUCCGUUAGGUGGUUCUCAUAAAACAACAAGUAACAUCAUUUUCCUCCCUUUACUUCAGUUUUUGACUUUUAUAAAGAGAAGCCAAUUAUGAGGAUUUACUACAUCAAAAGUCAUACAGGACAGUGUAAUACAGUGCUGUCUCUGGAUGCAAUACCAUAUGAUGCAAAGCCAUAUCCAUAUAGAUUUUUUAAUGAAAAGACUCCCUUUGUCCUUGUCACAAAUUACGUCUGCAUUUUUAAAAGAUCUCAUCACCACUUAUGACAUUAAAAUGCAACCUGAAAGUAUGUUUCAAAUAUUAAGUUAAAAAUAUUAACCUAAAAAGACAUAAAAGUGGAGCUGACCCAAGAACUAGGGCUGUGGGUUUAUAGAUUUACACUGCUGAAGUGCUGAUCGCUAAAGGAACUGAGCACAAUUAACCUUGGGCUGUCAGCGAGAUAGCUGUCCCUGUCCAGAAAUCUGGCUGCGGGUCCAUCCCACCCCACCCCGUCCCAUCCUUAACACUGGGAGAGGAGCAAUAGAGCAGCCUGACCUGCAGGAAGGCUGUUGGGAUGUGGAGGUGGACUUUUUUUGUGAACCGUUAGUAGCACAGCAAUGUUUCUGUCUGGAAAGGAGAGGAUGAAGUUCUUAGUGCUUUUCUGUUGGAGCACGCAGAAAAAAAUAAUCACCAAGGGCUUUGGGUAAUAUUCAGGGCUUCUGUCAACACAACCCAAAUUACCAACAUGCUUACCAUAGAAGCAAACCUUGGGAAAUCACAUCAGGUGUUUAGCAACCAGUGAUCUCAUAGUUUUUCUUACUUGAGCAGUGCAGGAUGAAAGCCUCCUACGAAGCCUGAGCAGACAACUGACAUGUCCCAGCCUGUUUCCGUCAAUGGCUAAAAGAAGUCAUGGCAGACGCUUUAACAAAAUCUCCCUCUGUGUGUGUAAUUAUCUCUGAAACUACAGUGGGGGAUGGUUGUCUCUCUCUAUAUGGGCAGCCUUCAAAGGUGGGAGUGAUAUUUGAGGAUCUAUGCGGCCCUUUGGGUUUCAGAGGUAGUUGAAUAUGGUCUUGGAAUAUCCCUUUGCACUCACUUGAAGGAGAACACUUGCCUGGGACGUGUAACUUCUGAGGCCCAGUGGUUUCGCACGGGUUAGCCCAUGCACGAGAUGGCAAACACUUUGGGGAGGGAAAUCUGAGUGGGAUUUUUGAAGAGCCUUGCUUUCCAAGCCCUUCUAAGUCUCCUUCUCUGCCACCCACAAAGCCCCAAUGUCUAUGCCAAGGCAGAGGUUGCAAAGGACAGUUAUGUGACGAGAGUUACAGGGAAAUAAACCAGGAGCAUCUGAUGUCACCAGACACCCCACAAAACACGCAAUACAGGAUUAUCAGGUUCGAUCUCUACUCCAAAGCCAAUUAUAAUGUGAUAGUGGUGAACAUCUCCAUAGUCCACUCCUCCCCUUUCUGGGUAGCUGCUGUGUAAAUUUGGCCUUAGGACCUGAACUAGAGAACAUGUUAACCCAUUUCCACUUAAUUUGUCCCUAAUAUCCUGUUAAAACUCUGUGGUCUUUGCAAAUGCUCUCUGUGAGAGUCUGAAUGAAGUGGGGAAUCAAGGAAAUUCAUCUUUUUCCCUUCAGGAACUGUCUUGCCAAGAACUGAAAUAAGCUAAGAAGGUCAAUUCCAGAAUAUUUAAUUUAUUUUUUCCUGAAUUCACAGACUGGAUUUUUUUUUAAGGAAUGUUUUUGUUUCAGUGUGAGUAAUAUCCCAUUAGUUUUUACUUCAUGUUCUAGUGAUUCAGAAAUCCUUAGUGAAAUGUCAAAUCUUUUCAGACAGGUUUCGUAAAUAAUCUGGAACUAAAUCUUUUGAACUCUUCUUUUUCUUUCCUCAGGAGCUUAGCCAGAAUGGUGAGAUCCCAGGAAGAAAGGACUGCGAUGCUAUAAGUUACAACUUUAUGAUGGUGUAAAAAUAAAAAAAAAGCCCCAAACAAUUAGUGUUAUACCUAACACUUAUUUAUGAGUGUACAGAAGCGAUUUGAAAGCUGUAAAAUCCCUUGCCAGCCUUGUUUAAGCUCACCCUGUGAAAGACAUGGAUACCAGUCACUUUUAUUACUGGCAGCGCAGCAACUGAGUAUUUUAGAGCUUGUUAAAUAAGUUGGGACAGAUCCACAGAUGGUGUAAAUCAAACUUCUGCAGUUAUUCCAACAAAGCUCUGGUCACAGAGGGUUCUUUGGAGUCAUUGCACAACUGGUGCCACCCUAGAGAGCUCAUACAUCAGGUGCAACUUCCAUGAGCUGCAGACAUGCCAGACUUUUGCCGCCAAUAUGGCAGCUCUCCACCCCACGUCCCCAGUGGAGCCGUUGGAAGAAGGGGCCAAGCUGUCAUGAGCUCUGUCAGCCAGCCAGGCUGGCAUUUCAGCCCUGCCUGGUGCUGGUCACCACCCCCACCUUGCUUUCCUGGUGUAUCUACUGAAGCACUUCAGUCCAACCUCAUCCAUUCCCAUCCCCUUGCUGCUGUAGUGCUACAUUCAGCAUCACGAAAAUGGCAUCUCUGAAUAGAUUUAACCAACAGUGGAGAAAUUACCAUUUUUAGGGGAAUAUAAGGGUAGAGAUCAAUAGCUGGAAUGUGUUGCUCCCCACUGGGAAGGGGAGGAGGAGCUGGCUGCUGCCAAUGUGCAUUAGCACAAUGCUUCAGGAUGACUAAAUCGCUCAAGGGAAAAGGGUGGUGAAACUUGAUUUGUGUUGCUGUCAACUGCAAAAAUGCACUUAUCACUGACUUCUCCCACAGCCAAGGAAAGAGCCUGCAUCCAAACUAUCACCAGCACCUGGUGUAGCUGUCAAUAUGUUCAGUUCCCAACCUCCAUGACAUGGCAGUGACAAGGACGUGACACUCCAGGUGCCCUCUCCCCUGCUGAGCUCAAGCUAGAAACAACUGGAUGCAGUCUGCAGCUGUGUCCUUAUCUCCCAUGGAACACCGCAAGUCAUAAAAGCCACCUCAUGAGAUGUUAUAAAAAGCAUAUUUUCACCCUUUCCUGCAACUUCCAAGGUUCUGUUCUCUCCUUGUGGAUAGCUCUACCUGUAUCAACCUCAUCCUCAAAAGGCUUUUGUCCAGCAGCAGCUCCCAGCUUUGCUGAGGUCUCCUAGAGAUGCCACAGGGAGCGUUUGGUGUUGAAAUGGGACUCACCCAGCAGCACACUAAUGGGGAGGCCACUUCCUGCAGUCAAGAGUGAAGACCCAGAUUUUGCCUCUGCGAAGCUGUAAAUCCUCAGUGACUGCAACUUCAGCCUGCAGGAAGCUGGGGCUUCUUUUCAGUUUUCUCUUGAACUACAACAUCACAGGUGACAGCUCUUGCUGUGCUGGUGCCAUCUAGUCAUAAAUUCAAAUCAGAGUGACUCUGCAUCUUCCCUCAUGGAUUUUAUCUCUCAGGUCACUCUUUCUCAGCAGCUGAGGUAUGAGCAGUUUCAUGUCUAAACUUGUAGUCAUCGUUCUGUGGCCAUUUAUCAGACAUGAUACGUCACGUAGCUGCAUCUGAUUAGAGAGGACUGUGUACACAUGCCUCCUCUGUAGCUGCAGUAUUCUUCAGUUGCGCCGAAUGUGUGAACUCAUGAAUGAUGCUCAUGUGAAUAAUCAUCUAGAACAACUAGACGUUUUUCCAGCUGGCUCACUCAGAUACGCCUCUGCCUUUGCUCCAGAAGCCUCAUUUCCCCUUGUUCCCAGUGUGAGCUGUCACUUAACUUUGCCUGUAUUUUAGGUGCGUGCAGCAAGUGUCACUGCUUUCUCCAGCAGCUUCUGUACUUCUGGUGCUCUAGAAGUACUCUGGUUUCUCUAGCAGCUUCUGGUGCUUUUCUCACCAGCUUCUGUACAAAGCUGCUGAGAAAUGCCACUGGCAUUUAUCUCAGACUUUUCAGUCCUGACAUGACUUUCAAAUGUCCUUUUUCUGUUGCUUUCACACACUCCUACCUGAUCUUGAUGGCCCGGAGCAUGCUAAGCAUCUGUGUUUAAUUUGGCUUGAAAAGCACCAACAUAAUUCUGGCUUUUGCUCCCUAUCCAUUUGUCCGGGGCAUGGGAGGCUCCUUCACCCACCAAACCUCUUCCAUGUCCGUGUCUGAUUUUCAAAUAAUAUGUCAGUUGUUAGCAGUAUCCUAGGAGGGCUGGCAUUUGUUUGCAAAGCUCCUCUUGGCAAGGGGACAGGGAGCUUGCAGUUGCUGGCAAAUAACACGGGCCUCCCAACAAUAAAAAUACAUUUCUUUUUUCACCUCUGGACUGUGACAGAGGUGAGGAGGAUGACUUUAGCUGCAGCAUGUUACAUGAACUGGAUGAGCGUCAGCUGCCCAACUGCUGUGGCGUGUAUCCCCACCCCUUCUCCUGCACGUGCAGUCUGAUAGGCUAUGGGACCAUGGCACAUUUUGUGUCAAAUUAAUCACUGCUAUUUGCAUGUAGAGAUGCACAAAGCCUGCCAGGAUUUUAAGUCUUCAGACACUUUCAGCACUGGGAAGCAAGGUGAGAGCUCACGUCCCACUGCUGAAACUGCUCUUACUGAACAAAGCAUGAGACCUCUGCAGGUUCUUGUAACAUCACGGGCGGCAGAGCGAUCUCUGAGUGAAAGCUCUCUCAGCUGUGCUCUCUCAGGGCACACCAGCUGCCUUGCCCUGCAAACACAGCAGGCAGCCCUUCUCGGAGCCACGCCGUGUGCUUACCCAAGAAGCAUCUCAAGAGCACGUUCUGUGUCAGGGCUUCUCUGGAAAUACCUUUGCAUUGCUUCACACCCCAAAUAAUUGCUUAAGCCCCCCUCCCUCCACUGCUCACAAGCAUUUUAACUCCUGCCCCAUCCCGCUUGCCAAUUUUCCUCAGGCACCGUUAUGCAGAGCGGGAUUUGGCAUGCUGCAGCAUGGCGUUUGCUUCCUCCCACCCCCAGGGAGACCUCUCCCAUUCCCCAGCUCCCCCAGCAAGCGGUGAUGUUGGCAUUUGGACCACCGUGUCCCUGCUGGAGCAGCAGACCCCACAGCUGGGCAGAGAGGCACACACACGUGGCAGCCCUCUCUCUCUGCUCUGCUCUGGCAGCACUCGCUCUCCUUGUUUGGCCUCCUGAUCUUUUGCACCAAAGGGCAUAAUUUUGGGAGAAGACUUCAGAGGACAGCCAGCCAUGGCUGGAGUUUGUGACAUAGAGGAGGCAUGGCAUGAGUAUCCCUCUGGACGCUAUAGCUGCCGGCAAACUAAAGAGAGCCAGGACAAGGACCCAGCCGCCAGCCGCAUAGAUUGAGUAGAGUGUUACUUCAUCCUGCACGCUCCCUGGUGUUAAUCUGUCCUGGACCAAAUGGUGCUCUCCCUGCCAGAGCCCAGGCACUGGAGAGCAGGGUCAGCGAGGCCACAUGGUUUUGGGGAUUGGAAGGACGCGCACUAUCUGGACAGGAGCCGUGCUGAGCCCCACAUCCCCAAGCCAGAAAGCAGACCCAGGCUGAUUUUAUUUACCAGUACUGACGGAGGUGUCCCCAGCUUCCCACCUGAUCACUGUUUGUGUGUCCAGUGCAGAUGCAAUGCCUUGCACAUGUCUGCCCCUUCCCAGGGGAGCCACUCCCAGACCCCAUCACGGCACAGGUCAGUUUGUACUCCCCAGUGCCACCAUCUGCUCCCUGCUGCUGGUAGCUGCUCCCAAACAUCAGCUGUUUUAAGCUGUGAUAGUCCUCUGGGAAUCUGCCUCUAUGUAUCUACCUAUUGGCGACUUAGCCAGUACUGGUGGAAAGAGUUAGACAUUCCCAAGAGGAUGCUCGAGGCAGGCACUGGAGUGCUCAGCCUGGGAAGAGCACACUGUUUUAGCAUCUUUCCCUUGAGAUGUCCUCCAGCUGCUGCUGCAGUUUGGCAUGAGAUGUGGCCCUCCCUGUCCUGUGAAAAUCUACUAAAACCCAGCCAAGGUACAAGCUGUUUAAAAGCAGUGCCCGUCUACACAGCAGACCUGAUUUCCUACAGGGUUUUGCAUUCUUAAUGACCAUUCUGGCUUCCAGAAAGAAGUAAGUGCCAACUGGAGGCUUUUUUUUUGCAGCAGGAACAUUUUGAAAACCACUAUGCCGUGCAUGUCCUCUGGAAAGUUCUAAAUUGCAAGCUCCUGUGGCCACUUUUUCCAAAGUUUGGGAUGUUUUUGCAUCUUUUUCCUCCCUAUACUCACUUAUUUUUGUGAAAUUAACGAGGGGUUAAUUCUAUGUGUGACAUCUGGCUGAGUCAGCCAGUGGCUUCACAGCUUAGCAGGGGAGGACAGGCAGAUAAACAACCAGACACACAUGCCCACGCACGUAUGCGCACACACACACACACACACGUGACUGCAUAAGCCGUGUCUCUUAGAAACCUGGAUCCACAGCAGUGGUAGCCCAUGGUUUUGGCCAGUGGUGGAUGUUUGUACGAUGCAGUGACCCACAGGCAGGCUGGUGGGAUGUCACCCACGGGAAAUGGGACUGGUUCUUCCUUUUGCCCUUAAAAAAUUCAGCAACUUGGAAAGUUUUCUUCAAAGACUACUUGGAUAACAACAAAAAGUACAAUAUUAAUCAAAAGUAAGUGGGAAGUGAUUUUUCUCCACAGGGGAGGCACUCACGCCACAUGGACCCGUGCUCAAGCCACCCCUAGACUCUGCCUGGGCACUGUCUGGGUGGCACUUUUGGCCGGAGACAAGACUGUGCAAACACUCAUUGCGUGUUCGUGCUUGGGCCCCGUUCCUGACACUGCCCAGCUAACAUGCACUUCUUUGUGCGUGUUUCUACAGCUGCAGCAAGACUGGGUUUUUUUUACACAAGUGGUUACAAGGAAAAUUGCAUUGAUCCCUGUGAGGCACGUCUGUGCUCGGGGCUGAAGCACCAUGGGAGAGUCCAGAGGAAGGGUAGUUCUGAGUUCAGAGUGACAUUUCAUCCAGGAGUUAUAAACUAAGCACACAGCUACACACUGGGAAUAGAUGGGUUAUCAACAGCAGCAUGUGGGCAUCCUCCAAUUUUCCUCUGGCUUUGUCUGGGUCCUUCGCAAAGCAGAUACGAAGACAUCAUUGAAAAGGGAACCCAGAUGCAUGCAAGUGAGAGAAGCAGGGGAACCCGACUUCCACAGCCACCUAAAUUUUAGGAGGAGGUGACAUACAAAUAAGCAAAAUUUAUUUUCCUACCAUGCUGAUAAUCUCCUGCAUAGCAGAAAAGGGUUUGCUGUCUGCAGAAGUUGUGCUUCCAAACAGGCCAUUUGCGGCUACAGCGUCCAGUCCUGGUGCAAAAGAUGACAGCUUAAAUCAAUUUGGGAAAGGCAAAGCCACACAGGUUGGCCAAAACAGUCUUUGCAGCAUCAAGGCACAACACAGCAGUUACAAGAUUCAGGUUUACUUUGAUUGUUGCCCUCCUGCAGGACUGAUUGCAGGGAAUAAUCAUGUUUUGACACUCAACAGAGGACACAGAUAGAGAUAGAAUGUGCAGUUUGUAGGUACAGGAGGAGACUGAGCUUAUGGCUGUGCCUGAAGCCCUGCAGACUCCCAGGUUUCUUAUCCCAGAGAAAUGAAACAGGUGGCAAGGGCAAGCAAGAAAGUGAAGGCUGGCAAAGCACUUUUGAGGAGUUCUUGAUUGAUUUGGUCUCACUAACACUGUGCAGAAAAGCUUCACACAGACAUUGUCUGGAGACCCAGAAGGGCCUCAUCACAUCCAUUUGCCUCUGUUGCUGAGUCCAUCCAGCUGCCAGGGCCACAGCAAGCGUCUCCAUCAGCUGCCUUCCUGCUGCUUCCUGAAAUAAUAAUAAUUUUCGUACAGAGAGGGAAAGGACCAGUCAUUGUCAGCAGCUGAUAGCUCUCCCACAACCAAGUUGUGAUAGGACCCACAACCAAGACACACCAAUAAAUGUUUGUGAGAAUCUCAUUCAAAUGUGUCCAUCCUCUUUCUGUAAGAGUUAAAAAGCUUUGGGGCCAUCUGCCAGAGCAAUGAACAGUGUCCAGAGCUGCCCGCACCAGGCUAAGCCAGGAGCUGCUCUCAGCAUGGCCUAUGGAGUUCAAACACUUCAGCAUUUGCUCUCAGUCAACCCCUGACUGCAGAGUCCAGUAAUUAUCAGCUGAUCACAUCUGAAAUGUGGAGCAAGCAACAGCUUAAGGGAGUGAGCAUUGCAACGAAAAUACAGAAUCCACACUCGGACAUUAUUUUUUGCAAGAAUGAAUCAAAGCUCCUUACUCUGCCAGUACUGUGUGACAGCGCUAGUUAUUUUCAGAACUGGAGCUGGAGGUGCUCAUACUCUGGAGAGGACAUUGCUCCUAAGCAAGGCGCAAAGGAUCCACUUCUAGUCUGAGCCAGGAUUACUUGGAGAGCUGGGCCUUUGCACCUGGUUUGUUUGGCUGCUGCUGUCUUCAUUCAAGGGUACAAGCACAGAGAACUUGUGCAAGCGGUUCCUGCUAACGCGCUUGCAUAGUCAAAAGGCAGUGGAGCAAAACCACACUUGAGUUACAGCUGAACACACUUGAUGGGGGAGACACUGAUGUACUUCACUAUAUUUAGAUCAGCCUGGAUCAUCUGAAAGCACAAACUGCAAAAAAAGGAAGAAGGAAAGAGAAGGCAUUUUCUCUCAUAAGGCUGUUACAAAAGUAGUCAGAGAGAAGUUAAAAGGGCAAAGAAAAUAUUAACACUUAUUUGCAUCACCGGCUGCAAGAGAACAGACAGUUUCUUAAGCAAAUAUCUGAUUACUGGGAGCAGAUUAUGGGGAAUUAAGAAACCAAGAGAUAAGAUCAGGAAUAGUUAAUAAAAAGCUUGGGAUCCAUAAAACCGUAAAAGGGAAAGGCUAUACAGGGCAUGCUGAAGGAAAUGGGGAAAGAAAUUAGAGAUGCUUUAGCAAACCUUUUCAGAAGUUCAAGAGAAAUCCCUUGGGACUGGAAAAUGUAACAAAAAGCGAGUGCUGGGGAAAGCAGCCUGAGGGCAAACCAAGGCUACACCGGGUUUGUUGGAAAUCCACUGCCUGGAGGUCUUAAAGCUCUUUGAAAGAUCAGUUUGGAGAAAUACUUAGAAAAGCAUGAAAGUACCUCCCUAAGUUCCUUGAAUUCACUGAGGUUGUUAUUGGCAGAGAAGAACAAAGCAGUGGCACAAGAUGACAAUUUCUGAAACAAAGUCUAGCUUGAAAAGUAUUUUUGAAAGGAGAAAAUGAGAGAGACACCCGAGGAAAGACCAGAUGACCUGUGCAAGAAGAGAAAAACUCACUAAGGCAUAUUUGUUGCAAUUGCCCUUUCAGCUUCAAACCGUGGACAAUUCAUAUGGCAAACCUGGGGGUUCUGGCCAAUGGCAAGUUGAAUGUGAGCCAGCAGUGCCCUGGCAGCCAAGAGUGUCAACCGUGUCCUGGGGUGCAUCAAGCACAGCGUUGCUGGCCAGUAGUGGGAGGUGAUUGUCCCACUUUACUCCACACUGGUGCAGCUCCGCCUUGACUAUUGUGUGCAGUUUUGGUUGCCACAGUAUAAAAGGGGUAUCAGACUACUGGAGAGCAUCCAGAGGAGGCUACAGAGUUGAGGAAGGGUUUAGAGGGGAAGCUGCAUGAAGAGCAGCUAAAGUCUCUUGGACUGUUCAGCCUGGAGGAGACUGAGAGGAGACCUCAUUGCAGUCUACAGCUGCCUCACAAGGGGAGGAGGAGGAGCAGGCACUGAUUUCUUCUCUUUGGUGACCAGUGAUAGGACCCGAGGGAAUGUCAGGAAAGUGUGCCAGGGGAGGUUUAGGUUGGGUAUGAGGAAAAGGUUCUUCACUCAGAGGGUGGUGGAGCACUGGAACAGAUUCCCAAGGAAGCAGUAAAGGCACCAAGGCUGACAAGAUUCCAGAAGCAUUGGGACAACGCCCUCAGAUGCAUGGUGUGAAUGUUGGGGUUGGACUUGACGAUCCUGGUGGGUCCCUUACAACUUAGGACAUUCUAUGAGAGUUUUGUAAAGCAGUUUUAAGUUUGGUUAAAAACCAUAAGACUGCAUAUGACAUUACAAAGACAAUCACACCUCCAGCCCUGUGUCACAUGCUGAAAUAGUAAUCUGGCUCUCCUCGUUGGAUUUAGCUAAAUGUUAUAACAAACCUCCAUGGCCUUGCCUGGAUGACAGCAGGGAUGAGGCAAAGAAGACAGCAAUACAACUGCAAUAUUGCAAACAAUACUGAAGCAAUAGGUUUGCAUUGCUUUCAUUAAGUAGUUGUGAUUUAACUAAUAAAAAUAAAUCUGAAAAAUUCUUAUCACAGAAAUAUACAAAAAUAAAGACAAAGGUAACAUAGAAAUGAAAACAUAGAAUAUAAUUAUUUAAAAAAGAUUCUUAAUACUAGUAAAAUGUUUCACGAGGUGCUAUGGUUUUGUCAUUUCCAUCUAAGCUCUCCCACCAGAAUCAAUUCACAGGAAGUA